rnacentral:tRNA from 1 species
GCCCCGGUGGCACAAUCGGUUAGCGCGCCGUACUUAUAAUGCGGAGGUUGUGAGUUUGAGCCUCACCCGGGGCA